AACGCACAUUGCGCCUUCUGGUAAUCCGGAAGGCAUGCCUGUCUGAGCGUCAUUACACCAUUCAAACCUUUCUUUUAUUAGAAGUGGCUUGGUUUUGGAAGUAAAUUGCUAGUUUUAUUACUGUGGUUUCUUCUGUAAUGCAUUGACGAACGUCUACUGUUCCUUAGUUGUAGUAAGCAUUUUCUCAACUUUAAGGUAAUAGUAGAUGUCCUACUUUCUAUUGCUUAGUCUAUUAAGAUUAUCAUUUUAAAGUUUGACCUCAGAUCAGGUAGGAAUACCCGCUGAACUUAA
rnacentral:misc_RNA from 1 species